CGGAAGCCGGGUCUUGGCGGCAGUCGACAGGAUCGCCUGACGCGGGCACAGCGUCCUCCAAGAGGCCACCUUGCUGAGAGGCAGACUUCCCAUCCACAAAAUGGGAUGACAAAACGGCUCAGAGUUGAAACCACUUCUCCAAGGAGACACAACUGCUGCCCGCAGAGCUGAAGCUCCUGACCCACUAUCAAAUUUCAAUCAUUUAUUUGCCUACCCCCUUUAUGAUUUUUACCACCCGUUACUUCAACAAGUUUCAUGAAAUCCACUUAUUGUUUUUACCCAAAUAAAUUUAGUUUCCCCAUCCCAGUCACUAA
ensembl:lncRNA novel transcript, antisense to PSMF1